GCUGUAUUAGACUGACCUCCACAAUAGUGGAAGGAAAAAAUGUGAGCCUGCAUCAUGAAUUGACUUGGGUGAGAUGUUUCCUUUACAUGUUCAGGAAAGGCUGGACACGUUCAAUCCAAGGCACAUCUGCCCAGCUGUGCCCUGCUUUGCUGCUGAUCCUCCUCCUCCUGCUCACAAGCACAUGUAAGCCUGGAUGUCUCUUUGGAAGAUGCAGCUGAAAAUCGUUGGCUGUGGCAAUUGAUGUGCUCUCCUCCAUCACUCAGCUCAGCUUUCCAUGAAAUGUGACUGUGGAGAGUCGACCUGGGCUGGAUGCCAGGUGCCCACCGAACUGCACUAGCACCGCCUUCGUCAGCUGGGCGUGGAAGGGGGACAAAAUAAAAUGGAAAGCAGCUCACA
rnacentral:lncRNA from 1 species